GCCGGGGUGGCGAAAUUGGCUAGACGCGCAUGCCUUAGGAGCAUGUGGAGCAAUCCAUGGAGGUUCGAUUCCUCUCCCCGGCA
rnacentral:tRNA from 1 species